rnacentral:tRNA from 1 species
GGCGGGAUAGCCAAGUUGGUAAGGCAGAGCUCUGCAAAAGCUCCAUGCACCGGUUCGAGUCCGGUUCUCGCCUCCA